GGACCCGCACAAGUAGUGGAGCAUGUGGUUUAAUUCGAAGAUACGCGCAGAACCUUACCAACACUUGACAUGUUCGUCGCGACUUUAAGAGAUUAAAGUUUUCGGUUCGGCCGGACGAAACACAGGUGCUGCAUGGCUGUCGUCAGCUCGUGUCGUGAGAUGUUGGGUUAAGUCCCGCAACGAGCGCAACCCUCACUUUUAGUUGCCAUCAUUUAGUUGGGCACUCUGAAAGAACUGCCAGUGAUAAGCUGGAGGAAGGUGGGGAUGACGUCAAGUCCUCAUGGCCCUUACGUGUUGGGCUACACACGUGCUACAAUGCCCGGUACAACAGGAAGCAAUACCGCAAGGUGGAGCAAAUCCUUAAAGCCGGGCCCAGUUCGGAUUGGGGUCUGCAACUCGACCCCAUG
rnacentral:rRNA from 1 species